rnacentral:rRNA from 1 species
GAUGAACGCUGGCGGCAUGCCUAAUACAUGCAAGUCGAACGAGAGGAAGGAAAGCUUGCUUUUCUGAAUCUAGUGGCGAACGGGUGAGUAACACGUAGGUAACCUGCCCAUGUGCCCGGGAUAACUUCUGGAAACGGAUGCUAAAACCGGAUAGGUAGCAGACAAGCAUUUGACUGCUAUUAAAGUGGCUAAGGCCAUGAACAUGGAUGGACCUGCGGUGCAUUAGCGAGUUGGUGCGGUAACGGCCCACCAAGGCGACGAUGCAUAGCCGGCCUGGGAGGGCGGACGGACGAAUGGGGACUGAGAAACGGACCAAACUCCUAGGGGAGGCAGCAGUAGGGAAUUUUCGUCAAUGGGGGGAACCCUGAACGAGCAAUGCCGCGUGAGUGAGGAAGGUCUUCGGAUCGUAAAGCUCUGUUGUAAGAGAAAAACGACAUUCAUAGGGAAUGAUGAGUGAGUGAUGGUAUCUUACCAGAAAGUCAAGGAUAACUACGUGCCAGCCGCCGCCGUAA